rnacentral:rRNA from 12 species
CAGCAGCCGCGGUAAUUCCAGCUCCAAUAGCGUAUACUAAAGUUGUUGCAGUUAAAAAGCUCGUAGUUGGAUUUCUGAUGGGGACUACCGGUCCGCCGCCUUUGGUGGUGUGCACUAGUGUGCUCCUCGUCAUUACUUGUGGAGAGCGCCUGCUGGCAUUCAUUUGUCGGUGGCGGGAUCUGCAUCGUUUACUGUGAAAAAAUUAGAGUGUUUAAAGCAGGCAUGUGCCUUGAAUACAUUAGCAUGGAAUAAUAAGAUAGGACUUUGGCCUAUUUUGUUGGUUUGCAAGCCAGGGUAAUGAUUAAUAGGGAUAGUUGGGGGUAUUCAUAUUUAAUUGUCAGAGGUGAAAUUCUUGGAUUUAUGGAAGACGAACUACUGCGAAAGCAUUUACCAAGGAUGUUUUCAUUAAUCAAGAACGAAAGUCAGGGGAUCGAAGAGGAUUAGAUACCCUCGUAGUCUUGACCAUAAACUAUGCCGACUCGGGAUUGGCGGUCGUUUGUU